AUGAGUUUCAACUCUAGCCUACCCCAACUUGUUUGGGACUGAAAGGCUUGGUUGUUGUUGUUGUUGUAGAUUCCGUGGACACUAUAAACCUGUACUACUCUUUGUAUUGCUUCACACAAUAAUUUGCUAUGUGAAUAAACGGUUAUUUUCCUGAUUACUUUAUUUUGUCUUUCAUUUCUUAAAGCCGGCCUUAUGACUGCAGAAAGUCAGACGGAGAGUCAUGCAAAGGGCUUACAGAUGCAAACAUGGCGGUUACGGGAACGGCCAAUCUGGAUGCUGCAGAGGAAAAGGUCACAACUGUUGGAAAUUACAGCUUCUCCCUUAUGGCACGGCAGCAAAUUACAGACACACGUAACCCAUUAUACCUUAAUACUGAUUUUGAUGCAGCAGCACCAAGCAGCUUUGCCUACACCUUAUGGCAACACAAAUGGGUCACAGUAACUAGAGCAAAAAAGUGAUGGUUUUGGUGCUGCAAAGCCAGGCAGCUUUUUAGCUUAUUCAGCCAUAUUUAUAGAGUGCAAAUAUUCAUGUUCUAAUGGACUUUGGCUACUAAGCCUGGACAUGUUCAACUGCUUGUAUUGCACACUAAAUGAGCUACAAAAUAUCUAAAUUCUAGUC